UACGUAGGGUGCAAGCGUUGCUCGGAAUUACUGGGCGUAAAGGGCGCGUAGGCGGGAUGGCAAGUCGGUCGUGAAAUCCUUCGGCUCAACCGAAGAACGUCGAUCGAUACUGCUGUUCUUGAGGGUUGCAGAGGAGACUGGAAUUCCCGGUGUAGCGGUGAAAUGUGUAGAGAUCGGGAGGAACACCGGUGGCGAAGGCGGGUCUCUGGGCAAUUCCUGACGCUGAGGCGCGAAAGCGUGGGGAGCAAACGGG
rnacentral:rRNA from 1 species